rnacentral:rRNA from 1 species
ACGAACGCUGGCGGCGUGCUUAACACAUGCAAGUGGAGCGACGAACCAGGCUUUGCCUGGGGCUAAGCCGCGAACGGGUGAGUAACACGUGGGUAACCUGCCCCAAAGAUUGGGACAACUUGAGGAAACUCGAGCUAAUACCGAAUGUGAUCUCCAUUCACAAGAUUGGCGAUUAAAGGAAGCUUCGGCCUCCGCAUUGGGAUGGGCCCGCGGACCAUUAGCCAGUUGGUGGGGUAAUGGCCUACCAAAGCAACAAUGGAUAGCUGGUCCGAGAGGACGAUCAGCCACACUGGGACUGAGAUACGGCCCAGACUCCUACGGGAGGCAGCAGUGGGGAAUCUUGCGCAAUGCGCGACAGCGUGACGCAGCAACGCCGCGUGAGGGAAGAAGGCCUUCGGGUUGUAAACCUCUUUCAGUUGGGACGAAGCUUCGGCUGUGAAUAGCAGAUCGGAGUGACGGUACCUACAGAAGAAGCCCCGGCUAACUACGUG